rnacentral:tRNA from 1 species
GCUCCCAUCGUCUAGAGGCCCAGGACCCGGGCUUUUCAAGCCCGUUACACCAGUUCGAAUCUGGUUGGGAGCG